rnacentral:rRNA from 1 species
CCUANGGGCGGCUGCAGUAGGGAAUAUUGGGCAAUGGGCGAAAGCCUGACCCAGCAACGCCGCGUGCGCGAUGAAGGUCUUCGGAUCGUAAAGCGCUUUUCUGAGGGAUGAGCAAGGACAGUACCUCAGGAAUAAGUCUCGGCUAACUACGUGCCAGCAGCCGCGGUAAAACGUAGGAGGCAAGCGUUAUCCGGAUUUACUGGGCGUAAAGCGUGUGCAGGUGGUUUGGUAAGUUGGAUGUGAAAGCUCCUGGCUCAACUGGGAGAGGUCGUUCAAUACUACCAGACUUGAGAGCAGUAGAGGGAGGUGGAAUUCCCGGUGUAGUGGUGAAAUGCGUAGAUAUCGGGAGGAACACCAGUGGCGAAAGCGGCCUCCUGGACUGUUUCUGACACUCAGACACGAAAGCUAGGGUAGCAAACGGGAUUAGAUACCCUGNUANUC